rnacentral:tRNA from 1 species
GCGCGGCUAGCUCAGUUGGUAGAGCACCUCCUCGACAUGGAGACUGUCGUCGGUUCGAGUCCGACGUCGCGUUCCA